GACGAACGCUGGCGGCGUGCUUAACACAUGCAAGUCGAACGAUGAUGCCCAGCUUGCUGGGUGGAUUAGUGGCGAACGGGUGAGUAACACGUGAGUAACCUGCCCCUGACUCUGGGAUAAGCGUUGGAAACGACGUCUAAUACUGGAUAUGACUGCCGGCCGCAUGGUCUGGUGGUGGAAAGAUUUUUUGGUUGGGGAUGGACUCGCGGCCUAUCAGCUUGUUGGUGAGGUAAUGGCUCACCAAGGCGACGACGGGUAGCCGGCCUGAGAGGGUGACCGGCCACACUGGGACUGAGACACGGCCCAGACUCCUACGGGAGGCAGCAGUGGGGAAUAUUGCACAAUGGGCGAAAGCCUGAUGCAGCAACGCCGCGUGAGGGAUGACGGCCUUCGGGUUGUAAACCUCUUUUAGUAGGGAAGAAGCGAAAGUGACGGUACCUGCAGAAAAAGCACCGGCUAACUACGUGCCAGCAGCCGCGGUAA
rnacentral:rRNA from 1 species